UUCAGUUCACAUCUAAAUAUAUAGGAAGUGAAUGGAGGACCUGAUUCGUCUCAACAGUCUGUCCAAAGCACCCAUAUGCUCCACACACAGGCUUUCGUUGACGGAAACUGACAAGCAGCAAAUCAUCCGAAAACCACUUCACAGCACAAGAAUUUUCCAACAGUUUAACGCUUUCAAAAUUAAACUCGGGGCAUUCCAACACAUGGUUUAUCACGCAGAAUACAACUGUUACUAUUUCCCAAUCUUCUGGCCAAAAAAAGUUAUUCAACAACUUAGAGUAACAGCUGAUAAUGGAUUGUGUUUACAGUAAAAGACCAAAACCACAGAAUCGCUAAUUUGGAUACACAGCCUGGAAUUGCCAAUCAAAAUGUAUGGACUUUAAAAAUACAGUGGAACACUUCCUGUAUUACCGCAUGACAUCACAAGGACCGUGGCAGAGUAACAGGUGUGUGCUGUUUGGAUCUGGAGGUCUUUACACCCCCAUUUAUACCCUCACGAGGCCUGUCCCACUGUAGAUCCACUGAACAACAAAUGUCCAAGUGUCCCUGGGGCCUGACGCUGCAGAUUUGGGAGCCUUAGCGGAGACAAAGGCCCCUGCAUGUUCUUCACAAAGUCAUUCUGAUCCUGGAUUAGUGCUUAAGUGCCCACAUAAGACCGCCUUGUUAGGGUUUCACUGCUAAUAAAAGCUGGAGCCAAAGCCAGAAUUAGAUGUAAAUUUGGUUAACUUUAUUUCAGUAGUCAGUAAGUUUGCAA